UACGUAGGGGGCAAGCGUUGUCCGGAAUCAUUGGGCGUAAAGCGCGCGUAGGCGGCCCGGUAAGUCCGCUGUAAAAGUCAAAGGCUCAACCUUUGAAUGCCGGUGGAUACUGUCGGGCUAGAGUCCGGAAGAGGCGAGUGGAAUUCCUGGUGUAGCGGUGAAAUGCGCAGAUAUCAGGAGGAACACCUAUUGCGAAGGCAGCUCGCUGGGACGUAACUGACGCUGAGACGCGAAAGCGUGGGGAGCAAACAGG
rnacentral:rRNA from 1 species